rnacentral:rRNA from 1 species
UGACCUCAAAUCAGGUAGGACUACCCGCUGAACUUAAGCAUAUCAAUAAGCGGAGGAAAAGAAACUAACAAGGAUUCCCCUAGUAACUGCGAGUGAAGAGGGAAAAGCUCAAAUUUAAAAUCUGGCAGCUUCGCUGUCCGAGUUGUAAUUUAGAGAAGUGUUACCCGUGCUGGACCGUGUACAAGUCUUCUGGAACGGAGCGUCAUAGAGGGUGAGAAUCCCGUCUYUGACACGGACUACCAGUACAUUGUGGUACACUCUCAAAGAGUCGUGUUGUUUGGGAAUGCAGCACUAAAUGGGUGGUAAAUUCCAUCUAAAGCUAAAUAUUGGCGAGAGACCGAUAGCAAACAAGUACCGUGAGGGAAAGAUGAAAAGAACUUUGGAAAGAGAGUUAAACAGUACGUGAAAUUGUUAAAAGGGAAACGCUUGAAGUCCAGUCGCGUUGGUUGGAAAUCAGUCUUGCUUUUGCUUGAUGUACUUUCUAAUUGACGGGUCAACAUCAGUUUUGACCGUUGGAAAAAGAUUAGAGGAAUGUGGCAUCUUCGGAUGUGUUAUAGCCUUUAGUUGUAUACAACGGUUGGGACUGAGGAACUCAGCACGCCGAAAGGCCAGGUACUUGUACCAUGUACGUGCUUAG